AUUGAACGCUGGCGGCAUGCUUUACACUUGCAAGUCGAACGGUAACAGGCCUUCGGGUGCUGACGAGUGGCGAACGGGUGAGUAAUGCAUCGGAACGUACCCAGAGGUGGGGGAUAACGCAGCGAAAGCUGUGCUAAUACCGCAUGUGAUCUGAGGAUGAAAGCGGGGGACCGAGCAGCAAUGUUUGGCCUCGCGCCUUUGGAGCGGCCGAUGUCGGAUUAGCUAGUUGGUGGGGUAAAGGCCUACCAAGGCGACGAUCCGUAGCUGGUCUGAGAGGACGACCAGCCACACUGGGACUGAGACACGGCCCAGACUCCUACGGGAGGCAGCAGUGGGGAAUUUUGGACAACGGGCGCAAGCCUGAUCCAGCAAUGCCGCGUGCGGGAAGAAGGCCUUCGGGUUGUAAACCGCUUUUGGCAGGAACGAAACGGUGUCCGCUAAUACCGGGCGCUAAUGACGGUACCUGCAGAAUAAGCACCGGCUAACUACGUG
rnacentral:rRNA from 1 species